rnacentral:tRNA from 1 species
GCGUCCUUAGCUCAGUGGUAGAGCAUUGCACUUGUAUGCUACAGAAGUAAGCAUGAUAUCUCCUUAUACAAUGCAAAAGCCAGCCGUUCGAUCCGGCUAGGAGGCG